AUUGAACGCUGGCGGCAGGCCUAACACAUGCAAGUCGAGCGGAGCGGCGGACGGGUGCGGAAUGCCUAGGAAUCUGCCUGGUAGUGGGGGAUAACGUCCGGAACCGGGCGCUAAUACCGCAUCCUCUCAGAUGAGCCUGGGUCGGAUUAGCUAGAUGGUGGGGUAAAGGCCUACAAAGGCGAAGAUCCGUAACUGGUCUGAGAGGAUGAUCAGUCACACUGGAACUGAGACACGGUCCAGACUCCUACGGGAGGCAGCAGUGGGGAAUAUUGGACAAUGGGCGAAAGCCUGAUCCAGCCAUGCCGCGUGAGUGAAGAAGGUCUUCGGAUUGUAAAGCACUUUAAGUUGGGAGGCGUUACCAACAGAAGAAGCACCGGCUAACUUCGUGCCAGCAGCCGCGGUAAUAC
rnacentral:rRNA from 1 species